ensembl:lncRNA
ACACACACACACACACAGACACACUAACACACACAAACACACACUCACAGCGCCUGUGGCUCUCAUCUGUCCGACUCCCUCUCCGUUUGUGUCACUCAUUCGAGCUGUUUUUAUUUCCUUUCACUUUUAGCUCGCGUGGGUGAAGGCAACUUCGUCCCGAACGUGGCGGCUCCGGCGCUUCUCGGGUCCAGAUGAUGAUCUGGGAAAACGACGGAGCGGAUCGCGGCGGACUCGGAACGCUCCCCGGGAGAUUAGUCCUCGUGGCUUUUCCGGUGAUCCCCUGACAUUUCCUCCCGCUCCGCCACGAGGUUGACAUUUGUGUUUCAAAGUGAAACGUCUCCACGAUUCAUUGGACGGAUUGCCAUGAAAUUUGCUACGGGACUUUCGUGCCGCCCUCAGCGCGUGGCCUUCGUAGGUCAAAAGGAGGACUGCGUAGCCGGGGAAUGUUCUGGGAAAGAGGCCGGGAUUUACGGGAUUAAAGUCGUCAGUUUACAAGAAAUUAAACUCAGAGAUUAAAGUCACAAAUUCACAAGAAAACCAACUAUUAUCUUCUCCGAGAUAAAAAUGGCAGAUAUAUACAAGAAAAGCACAGACGCAAAAAAAAGAUGAAAUGGCCCUUAUAUUACCUCCUAUUAAAUAACUAUAUCUUUAUAUAAAUAAUCAGCUUCAUUUGAACAUUUGAAAACAUACAUUUUUCUAAUGUGUAUCCACGAAUAUUUGUCCAAUACUUUGGUUCAUGAACAAAUACCAUCGAUAAUAACAAUAUUCCCAUCAACCAAAGCUGUAUUAAAAUAGCACAUGUUAGCACGCUAACACGCUAAUCUAACAUCCGCACGUGGGCGAUGCCGUUGUUAGCAUUUGGCAUUUCUCAUUAAUCAUUUUGGAUCUAAACCCGACUCAUAAUCCAGCGGCUGUGCUUCAGCUUUAUUAGUUAAACAUCUGGGACAGAGCGAGGUCAACCAGUAAAAGACACUGGGAACUAAUUGUCCUGCUCAGAGGGAAG